UUUUAUUUGAGUUUGAUGGUGGCUCUGAAUGAACGCUGUCCAAGUGCUUGACACAUGCUAAUCGAACGUCUAAUUUAACUAUGUGGUAUUAAGCCACUAAUUUAAUUAGAAGUGGUGUACAGGUGAGUAGUUAAUAUUUUGGCUGCCUUAAAGUAAGGUAAAAUACCUUAUAAAAAUAUGAAUAAGAAAGGAAGUAAAUUUCCGCUUUAAGAGGACAAUAAAUAUUUCGGAUAGGUAGUAGUUAAGGUAAUGACUUAACUAGCUUGAAAUUCCGUAGUCGAGACUGAGAGGUCGAUCGAUCACAUUGGGUCUGAAAAAACCCCAAUACGUAUAGUACAGCAGUGGGGAAUAUUGGUCAAUGGCCUAACGGCUGAACCAGCAACUUGGGGGAAUGUAUAGCUCCGGCUAACUAUAUUUAGUUUUUUAUUAUAUUUAGUUUUUUUAUAAUAAAAAAUGUAAAUGUUUUAUAUAUUGAAAAAAUAUAGAAUCGAUUUUGUCGAAUAAAGUUCUAGAUAGAAUACUGAUUAUGACUAUUUUCUAUCUAUAUGUCUUGACCAAAUUACGUGCCAGCAGUCGCGGUAAUACGUAGAAGACUUGUGUUAUUCAUAUUUAAUAGGUUUAAAGGGUACCUAGACGGUAAAAUUAGUCUAAAAUAUGAUACGGUUUUACUAGAGUUAUAUAUAAGGAGGUGAGUAUUUAAGGAGUAGAGUUGAAAUUCAGUUAUACCUUAAGGACUGGUAAUGGCGAAAGCAACCUUUUAUCUAAUAACUGACGUUGAGGGACGAAGGCUCGGGUAGCGAACAGGAUUAGAUACCCUGGUAGUCCAAGCAGAAAAUUAUGAAUGCCAUAAAUUAGAAUAUUUUUAGUUUAUAAAUGAAAGUGUAAGCAUUCCACCUCAAGAGUAAUGUGGCAACGCAGGAACUGAAACCAUUAGACCGUUUCUGAAACCAGUAGUGAAGUAUGUUAUUUAAUUCGUCGUUACGCGAAAAACCUUACCACAAUUUGUAUAGUAUCCUUGAAAAGAUAUUACAAGCGUUGCACGGUUGUCUUCAGUUAAUGUCGUGAGAUAUUGGUUAAUUCCAUUAAAUUAACGGAAACCCUUGCUUUAUUUGCAAAAUUUAUAAAUAAAGCAGUUCACCAGUAUAUCGGAAAUGAUAACAGGGACCAAGACAAAUCAUCAUGGCCUAAAUAUUGUGGGCUAUAGACGUGCCACAUAUUCCUAUACAAAGAGAUGCAAAAAUGUGAAUUUAAGCUAAUCUCAAAAAGUAGGAUAAAAUAUGGAUUGUAGUCUGAAAUUCGACUACAUGAAUAAGGAAUUACUAGUAAUCGUGAAUCACCACGUCACGGUGGAUUUAAUCUCAGAUAGGUACUAACUACUCGUCAGGCGCCGAAAGAAGUAUGUGCAAUAAGUUUGGCUAACUAUUAGAAUUUAAUUCUAGAUAAAUAGGUCUAGUUAUUAUAGUGGAAGGCUUUCGUAUGCGUGACUUUAAUUGGUGUUAAGUCGAAAUAUGGUUCGUGUAGUGGAAAUUGCACGGGAUUAAUUAAUGUU
rnacentral:ncRNA from 1 species